CCUACGGGUGGCAGCAGUGGGGGAUAUUGCACAAUGGGGGGAACCCUGAUGUCGCGACGCCGCGUGGGUGAAGGAGUGCUUCGGCAUGUAAAGCUCUAUCGGCAGGGAGGAAGCAAGACGGUACCUGACUAAGAAGCACCGGCUAACUACGUGCCAGCAGCCGCGGUAAUACGGAGGGGGCGAGCGUUAGUCGGAUUCACUGGGUGUAAAGGGAGCGGAGUCGGCAAGGCAAGCCAGGGGUGAAAGCCCCGGGCCCAACCCCGGAACUGCCCUUGGGACUGCAUGGCUGGAGUGCGGGAGGGGCAGGCGGAAGUCCAGGUGUAGCGGUGAAAUGCGUAGAUAUGAGGAGGAACACCGGCGGCGAAGGCGGCCUGCUGGAAUUCGACUGACGUUGAGGCGCGAAAGCGUGGGGAGCGAACAGGAUUAGAUACCCGAGUAGUC
rnacentral:rRNA from 1 species